AUAAAUUAAUUCUUACAACUCCUAAGUGCUAAAGAGUAUUUAAGUAAAGCUAACAUAGCAUUGAUAUUUUACUUAUCAAACGAUAAAAAUUUCAUGUUAAAGAUGAAAAAUAUGGCUCAACUAAUAAUAUUUGUUUAUGCUUUGAUCAUCUUUCUUUAUCUAUUGUUUGUUGAAGCACAAAUAACUAAGCUUCCUUGUGUUACUGUUGAUGAUUGUCCAAAGGUGGAAAAACCGAUUCCUAUGGUUGCGAAGUGUUUUGGUAAAAGUUUUAGUAGACAUUGUCAUUACUUUUAUUUUUAAUUAAUAAUCACUAUUAAAGAACAAUAAUUAGUGUGGGAAAUUUAGCGAGGAAAAUUAUGAAAUCCCUCUCUAAUUAUGUCACUGAGAUUUGCGAUGAGGAAACUACUGAGGAAUUUCACUUUUUUCGUCACUAAUUUCUCUCUCUAAUUUUGCUUUUUCUAUUAGUGAAUAGUUAAGUCAAAACAUAAUUAUGUUACCUCUGAGUGUGUAAUUUAGGGAUUGUGUAACACCCUUGAUCCCCAUCAAUAAUACUUAAUAUAAAUACAACCAAUAAUUCAUAUUA